GGUGUGUGUUACACUGCAGAACCAGAGUGGCUCAUUUCACGACCCCUUUCCUCUAUUAAUGUGGCCCAUCAGACACUGGGCCAGGAUUUUGAGCUUUGAGCAUGUAAUGCAGACAGAGACAUGGGCUCAGUUGGAACAUCUGGAGCAAAUGUGUGUGCAUCCCCUGGCUCCAGAGGUGAGACCCUGCUCUGUGGGUCCUGUAGCCUGGCUCUCUGUGAUCCCACAGCUGCUGCCCACUUUCUAAGCCUGUUCGUAUUCCCGUGAAUUCUUUGAGUCCCCAGCCCCAAGAACUGUGUGCAUGUCAUUUGUUGCUUAAUGUAGAGUGAGUUUCUUCUGCUUGUAACCAAGAACCUAGUCUGAUCUCCAGGGGUUGUUGACCCCAGUUUACAGAUAAGGAAGUUCAGCUCUGGGUUAGAGCUCUAAGCAAAAAGUUCCCCUCCUCCUCAAGAACUCAUGUAUCAAGAAAUACCCAUGGGGCUGGCCCGGUGGCAUAGUGGUUAAGUUUGCAUACUCCAUGUCGGUUUGGAUCCUGGGUGUGGACCUACACGCCACUCAUCAAACCAUGCUGUGGCGGCAUCCCACAGAGAAGAACUAGAAGGACUUACAACCAGGGCAUGCAACUAUGUCCUGGGGCUUUGGGGAGAAAAACAAAAAAAGAGGAAGAUUAGCAACAGAUGUUAGCUCAGGGCCAAGCUUCCUCACCAAAGAGCAUACCUUAAAAAAAAAAAAAAAAAGAAACACCCAGUCCAGGCUGGGCGAGGCUGGAUCUGGAGCCCUGGUAUGCAAAAAGAAGAUGACUCUUUGGUUUGAUUUCCUCACUGAGGGCUGCACACUGGUUUGUUCCUGAGUUGUGGAUCCACCAUGGCCAAAUCCAGGUUCACACGGAGUGGCAGCUUGAUAUCGUGCAGAGUUCCACUAGCGAUUUGAGUUAGCACACAGAUGAAUACACACAUUUUAAACAUGAUCCAGCAUGACAACCUGAUUGCCCUCCGGAGGCAAAGCUGCAUCUCAGAACCACGGCAGAGCCUGCAGCAGGCACCAGGGCCUCUCGAAGGCUUUAGAAACCCAAGCGGACGAGAGGGCUGCGAACUCAGGACGGGAGUUCGACUGAGCCUCCUUGAACUGCGUUUAGGAUACACUCCUCUUUCCCAGCUUCACGUGGGAAGAGAUCAUUGAGCUUCAUGCGGCUGAAUUAUUUUUUGUUCUCAUUUAGUUCAUUUUUUCUUCUCCUUUAAAAACAAAGUCUAAACAGACUUUGGGCCACACCAGACCAUCUAGGAAGGGGGGGAAUGGUUUGGGAGCAGGUUUUCUGAAAGCUCUGGUCCUGGGAAAGCUCAGCUCACAAAGUUUACUAGGAGGCUGACUGAGCAACACACACACACACACACACACACGUGUGCACAUAUACACACAUCCCCUGGCCCCAGUUCUGCGCCACUUCCCCACCCCAACCUCAGGAAGUAGAUUUCUCAACGGCAGAGCGGCAGGCCUGGGUAUGAGUCAUAGACAAUCCCCUUUUUGUUUUGGGGAAUAAGAGCUCCCUCUCCCUCUUGGGGCCAAAAGGGGUUGCUGAGAAAGAUGUGGUCCUGCUCUAGAGGGAAAUUCCCACGUCUGUACCGUGCCUUGGGGACACCAUGGUCUCCUUGCCCAGCAAUCUUGAGGGCAAGGAUGCCCUUGCUCCUAAUUAAGGCCCAAGUUCCCCGGCUGCGGGCUGAUGUCUCUGGGGGUUCGUGCCAGGUGGCCUGGUGUAUGGACG
rnacentral:lncRNA from 1 species